GCGCCUGUGGCGGAAUUGGUAGACGCUGCAGACUUAAAAUCUGUUGACCGCAAGGUCGUGCCGGUUCAAGUCCGGCCUGGCGCA
rnacentral:tRNA from 1 species